CCUACGGGAUGCAGCAGUGAGGAAUAUUGGUCAAUGGACGAGAGUCUGAACCAGCCAAGUAGCGUGCAGGAAGACUGCCCUAUGGGUUGUAAACUUCUUUUAUAAAGGAAUAAAACGAGGCACGUGUGCCUUUUUGCAAGUACUUUAUGAAUAAGGCUCGGCUAACUCCGUGCCAGCAGCCGCGGUAAUACGGAGGAUCCGAGCGUUAUCCGGAUUUAUUGGGUUUAAAGGGAGCGUAGAUGGGUUGUUAAGUCAGUUGUGAAAGUUUUGGGCUCAACCGGAAAAUUGCAAUUGAUACUGGCAGUCUUGAGUACAGUUGAGGUAGGCGGAAUUCGUGGUGUAGCGGUGAAAUGCUUAGAUAUCACGAAGAACCCCGAUUGCGAAGGCAGCUUACUAAACUGUAACUGACAUUGAGGCUCGAAAGUGUGGGUAGCAAACAGGAUUAGAUACCCUAGUAGUC
rnacentral:rRNA from 1 species